rnacentral:rRNA from 1 species
CUCUGUGACUCCUACGGGAGGCAGCAGUGGGGAAUAUUGCACAAUGGGGCGCAAGCCUGAUGCAGCCAUGCCGCGUGUGUGAAGAAGGCCUUCGGGUUGUAAAGCACUUUCAGUCGUGAGGAAGGUAGUGUAGUUAAUAGCUGCAUUAUUUGACGUUAGCGACAGAAGAAGCACCGGCUAACUCCGUGCCAGCAGCCGCGGUAAUACGGAGGGUGCGAGCGUUAAUCGGAAUUACUGGGCGUAAAGCGCAUGCAGGUGGUUUGUUAAGUCAGAUGUGAAAGCCCGGGGCUCAACCUCGGAAUUGCAUUUGAAACUGGCAGACUAGAGUACUGUAGAGGGGGUAGAAUUUCAGGUGUAGCGGUGAAAUGCGUAGAGAUCUGAAGGAAUACCGGUGGCGAAGGCGGCCCCCUGGACAGAUACUGACACUCAGAUGCGAAAGCGUGGGGAGCAAACAGGAUUAGAUACCCUGGUAG